rnacentral:misc_RNA from 1 species
GAUGAAGAACGCAGCGAAAUGCGAUAAGUAGUGUGAAUUGCAGAAUUCAGUGAAUCAUCGAAUCUUUGAACGCACAUUGCGCCCGCUAGUAUUCUGGCGGGCAUGCCUGUUCGAGCGUCAUUUCAACCAUCAAGCCCCAGGCUUGUGUUGGGGGCCUGCGGCUGCCGCAGCCCCUGAAAAGCAGUGGCGGGCUCGCUGUCAUUCCGAGCGCAGUAGUUACAUCUCGCUCCGGGCGUGGCGGUGGGCACCUGCCGUGAAACACUCCUUCUAAGGUUGACCUCGGAUCAGGUAGGAAUACCCGCUGAACUUAAGCAUAUCAAUAAGCGGAGGA